rnacentral:lncRNA from 1 species
AAAAAUAUUUUUAUUAUAUUUUGCUCUAAAAAAAAAUGUUGUUGACUCGGAACAAAUAAUGUAAUGUUUUUUUUUUUUUGAGAGAUAGAUAGCACGUUAUCUGUUUUGUUUAUUUUAUUUAGAAAUAAAUUUAAUUAUAAAUAUGAAUCAACUAAGAUUCGAACUUAGGAUCUCGAAUACCAACCACCAAAUUCUUAACCGCUUGCUUUAGGGACAGUCGGUACAAAUAAUAUAGUGUUGGUGUUAUGUUCACUAUGAGAUGCGGCCAUCUUAUGCUGGUGUGCACUGAGUAGGGCUGGCAAACGAGCGAGCCGGCUCACGUUCGACUCGUGUUCGGCUCGAUAUUCGGCUCGCUCAAGCUCGACUCGAAAUUAAAUGAGCCGAGCUUGAACAAAAAAAAAGACUCGAAAUUCAUUUCAAGCCGAGCUUGAGUAUUACUCGGCUCGUUCGAAUUAGGCUCGAAAAGCUCGAAAAGCUCGAAAAUAUAUAUAUAUAUAUAUAUAUAUAUAUAUAUAUAGGCCGGGGCUACUAUACUCUUAUGAGUAUAGACCCCCUUAUACUCAUAAAUUUUUAACCGUUGAUUGAUGAGAUGUGUGGUUAGGAUGAUGGUGGUCCCCACUUAGA